rnacentral:rRNA from 1 species
CCUACGGGUGGCAGCAGCCGAGAAUCAUUCACAAUGGGGGAAACCCUGAUGGUGCGACGCCGCGUGGGGGAAUGAAGGUCUUCGGAUUGUAAACCCCUGUCAUGUGGGAGCAAAUUAAAAAGAUAGUACCACAAGAGGAAGAGACGGCUAACUCUGUGCCAGCAGCCGCGGUAAUGCAGAGGUCUCAAGCGUUGGUCGGAAUCACUGGUCGUAAAGCGUGCGGAGGCUGGUGCGUAAGGCGGGGGUGAAAGGCGCGGGCUCAACCCGCGGACGGCACAUGAUACUGCGAGACUAGAGUAGUGGAGGGGGAACCGGAAUUCUCGGUGUAGCAGUGAAAUGCGUAGAUAUCGAGAGGAACACUCGUGGCGAAGGCGGGUUCCCGGACAUUAACUGACGCUGAGGCACGAAGGCCAGGGGAGCGAAAGGGAUUAGAUACCCUGGUAGUC